UACGAGGGGUCCAAGCGUUGCUCGGAAUCAUUGGGCGUAAAGCGGGUGUAGGUGGCUUUGUAAGUCAGGAGUGAAAGCCCUGGGCUCAACCCAGGAAGUGCUUUUGAUACUGCGGAGCUUGAGUGUGGGAGAGGAUCGUGGAAUUCCAGGUGUAGUGGUGAAAUACGUAGAUAUCUGGAGGAACACCGGUGGCGAAGGCGGCGAUCUGGCCCAACACUGACACUCAGACCCGAAAGUGCGGGGAUCAAACAGG
rnacentral:rRNA from 1 species